CCCGCUGAACUUAAGCAUAUCAAUAAGCGGAGGAAAAGAAACUAACAAGGAUUCCCCUAGUAACGGCGAGUGAAGCGGGAAGAGCUCAAAUUUGUAAUCUGGCACUUUCAGUGUCCGAGUUGUAAUCUCGAGAAGUGUUUUCCGCGCCGGACCGCAUACAAGUCUGUUGGAAUACAGCGUCAUAGUGGUGAGAACCCCGUAACUGAUGCGGAUGCCCGGUGCUUUGUGAUACACUUUCGAAGAGUCGAGUUGUUUGGGAAUGCAGCUCAAAUUGGGUGGUAAAUUCCAUCUAAAGCUAAAUAUUGGCGAGAGACCGAUAGCGAACAAGUACCGUGAGGGAAAGAUGAAAAGCACUUUGGAAAGAGAGUUAACAGUACGUGAAAUUGUUGGAAGGGAAACGCUUGAAGUCAGACUUGCUAUUUGGAAUUCAGCCGCAAGGUGUACUUUUCAAUUCGCAGGCCAGCAUCAGUUUUUGGGGGUGGAAAAGGGUAUUGAGAAGGUAGCAGUCUCGGCUGUGUUAUAGCUCUUUACUGGAUUCAUCCUUGGGGACUGAGGAACGCAGCACGCUUUUUGCAAGGCUCUCGGGCUUUUCGUGCUUAGGAUGCUGGUGGAAUGGCUUUAAACGACCCGUCUUGAAACACGG
rnacentral:rRNA from 1 species